UACAGAGGUCUCAAGCGUUGUUCGGAUUUAUUGGGCGUAAAGGGUGCGUAGGCGGCGCGGUAAGUCGGGUGUGAAAUCUUGGAGCUUAACUCCGAAACUGCAUUCGAUACUGCCGUGCUUGAGGACUGGAGAGGAGACUGGAAUUUACGGUGUAGCGGUGAAAUGCGUAGAUAUCGUAAGGAAGACCAGUGGCGAAGGCGGGUCUCUGGACAGUUCCUGACGCUGAGGCACGAAGGCCAGGGGAGCAAACGGG
rnacentral:rRNA from 1 species